rnacentral:rRNA from 1 species
CAGUAGCCACGGUAAUACGAAGGGGGCUAGCGUUGUUCGGAUUUACUGGGCGUAAAGCGCACGUAGGCGGACUUUUAAGUCAGGGGUGAAAUCCCGGGGCUCAACCCCGGAACUGCCUUUGAUACUGGGAGUCUUGAGUUCGAGAGAGGUGAGUGGAAUUGCGAGUGUAGAGGUGAAAUUCGUAGAUAUUCGCAGGAACACCAGUGGCGAAGGCGGCUCACUGGCUCGAUACUGACGCUGAGGUGCGAAAGCGUGGGGGGCAAACAGGAUUAGAUACCCCGGUAGUCCCUGUCUCUUAUAA